UGAUGGCGAGUGGCGAACGGGUGAGUAAUACAUCGGAACGUGCCCUGUAGUGGGGGAUAACUAGUCGAAAGAUUAGCUAAUACCGCAUACGACCUGAGGGUGAAAGUGGGGGACCGCAAGGCCUCAUGCUAUAGGAGCGGCCGAUGUCUGAUUAGCUAGUUGGUGAGGUAAAGGCUCACCAAGGCGACGAUCAGUAGCUGGUCUGAGAGGACGAUCAGCCACACUGGGACUGAGACACGGCCCAGACUCCUACGGGAGGCAGCAGUGGGGAAUUUUGGACAAUGGGCGAAAGCCUGAUCCAGCAAUGCCGCGUGUGUGAAGAAGGCCUUCGGGUUGUAAAGCACUUUUGUCCGGAAAGAAAUGGCUCUGGUUAAUACCUGGGGUCGAUGACGGUACCGGAAGAAUAAGGACCGGCUAACUACGUGCCAGCAGCCGCGGUAAUACGUAGGGUCCAAGCGUUAAUCGGAAUUACUGGGCGUAAAGCGUGCGCAGGCGGUUGUGCAAGACCGAUGUGAAAUCCCCGAGCUUAACUUGGGAAUUGCAUUGGUGACUGCACGGCUAGAGUGUGUCA
rnacentral:rRNA from 1 species